ensembl:misc_RNA
UAGGGCUAGCAUAAAAUCGAAAAGGGUGGCUUUUGCAUAAUUCUGUACUUACCUGAGUUGUCAAGGCAGCUAAAGAAUAACUCUACUAAGGAAAGUUCAAGAAACUCGCCGGUUUGUAUGUUAUAG